rnacentral:rRNA from 1 species
UACGUAGGGUGCGAGCGUUAAUCGGAAUUACUGGGCGUAAAGCGUACGCAGGCGGUUUUGUAAGCCAGAUGUGAAAUCCCCGGGCUUAACCUGGGAAUGGCAUUUGGGACUGCAAGGCUGGAGUGUGGCAGAGGAGACUGGAAUUCCUGGUGUAGCAGUGAAAUGCGUAGAUAUCAGGAGGAAUACCGAUGGCGAAGGCAGGUCUCUGGGCUGACACUGACGCUCAUGCACGAAAGCGUGGGGAGCAAACAGG